UGUUGUUGGUGUUGGCGAGAUGGUGCAUUACCUGCCUGCUGAGGAAGACCAGGAAGAGACUCAACCCGUUUUCGGGCUUCAGAUCAACAUCGCAGUUGGAGUCUUUUCAGAAUGACAUACUCAUGUAUGCUAAGCGCCACUCCUUCAGCCCACCGGUUUAGGAAGCAUGAGUUUUGCUGGCAGCUCUUGACUACAACUUUCAUCGUGACAGGCCGACGCUCACAACAUCAGAGGGCCAACAAAUGGGAGUUGUCGAGCAAAGACUCAGCAGUGGGGUGGAAAUGGCCAGGACCAGGAUGCUUCAACAUGACGACCCCCGAAGACUUGAUGUUGUGCCCCAGUCCUUCCACCAACAAUAUUCGGCUUUCCAAGCAGCUGCUGAUGACGAGAAAUGAUUGAUGUACCACAUGACCACUUCCAUCCUCAUGUGAAGUGGCAAAGAUGAUAACUUAGAUUUUUACCUUUACAUUG